GUUCUCAGUUCGGAUUGUAGGCUGCAACUCGCCUACAUGAAGUCGGAAUCGCUAGUAAUCGCGGAUCAGCAUGCCGCGGUGAAUACGUUCCCGGGCCUUGUACACACCGCCCGUCACACCAUGAGAGUCGGGAACACCCGAAGUCCGUAGCCUAACCGCAAGGGGGGCGCGGCCGAAGGUGGGUUCGAUAAUUGGGGUGAAGUCGUAACAAGGUAAC
rnacentral:rRNA from 1 species